UCGUUUCUCCUUCCCCCCUUUCCCAAGCAGUACGUUAAUAUCCCUUCGUCGAUUCUUCUUCCCCCCUUCAGAUGAGAUUAGGGCACAAGCAUCACUCAUAGAGAUUUUGUAGAAAAUCGAGCACGGACCACAGCUCAGAUGCAGCACUCCCUUUCGGAUACCCACGGAACAGAUUAGGGUUCAGCAUCAAGCUUCCCCACACACGACCACGAAGACAGGUUAUUCUAAUCUACUGGUUUGCAUCUUCUUCUCAUAUUCGAACUCUUGGAAAAUACUUCUCUUAUAUUUGUAGUGUUUCUUGAACAAUAGAUUUAGAAAUGCCGAAAUGUCCAAAUAUACAAGCAUAAAAAUUGUAACUGAUUUUGAAAUUUAGAAACCCUAACCCGAAAUCUCUUAUAUUUGUAGUGUUCCUUGAACAAUAGAUUUCGAAAUGCCCAAAUACACAAAAUAUACAAGCAUAAGAAUUGUAACUGAUUUGAAAAUUUGGAAACCCUAAUCCUAAUUCUCUUAUUUGUAGUGUUUCUUGAACAAUAGAUUUCGAAAUACCCAAAUGCCCAAAAUAUACAAUUGCAUAAAAAUUGUAACUGAUUUGGAAAUUUAGAAACCCUGACCCUAAUUCUCUUAUUUAUAGUGUUACUUGAACAAUAGAUUUCGAAAUGCCUAAAUGCCCAAAAUAUACAAUUGCAUAAAAAUUAUAACUGAUUUAGAAAUUUGGAAACCGUAACCCUAAAUCUAAACAAUGAAAAAGAUUUUGGACUCUUAUUUGAAGGUUGUGCACGAUGGAUGUUUCAUGUGUGACAAAACCUAAUUUUAGAUGUAAUUAGUGUAAAAGUGUGGUGGCCAGUUGUACAUGAUGUAAAUAACUACUUAUAAUGUGCAUGCUUUCUUUUGGAUUUAUUCAUUAAUGUAUAAUCUUAUUUUCUCAUUUCAAUAAUAUAAAAAUCUGCAGCUCAGUCCAUAGAUAAGAACCCAACAUGGGCAUGCACAUGAUUUAAGCUUUUAGAGUAGUGAGUGGUUGCAGUUACAAUGUAGAAAAACUAGUUUCAAAAAAACAAAAGAAUUGGGUAUAGCAUAGUGACAACAUCUUAGCAUUUAUCUUAGCAGAGAAAGUGUCAAAGCAGUUUCAUCUUGGUUUCCACUGAUAUAUUGAGAAAUUUGUACAUUUUUUAGUAUAAAUUUUGUGAGAUGUAAUUUUUUUGGUUUCUGAGAAAUAACAGGUAAGACUGGUAAGUUUUUAGAGACGACAUUUUUUGGGUUCCUGAGAAAUAACAAGUAAGAGUCAGACUGGUAAGUUUUGUGAGAUGUAAACCUUUUGGUUCCUGAGAAAUAACACGUAAUUCUGGUAAGUUUUGUGAAAUGUACCAUUCUUAUCUGAUCUGGCUUUCAUUUUGAAAAAUGAAAAUUUGUGCAUAUGUAUAAAUUUAUUUCUCAAUGUUUCGAUUGAAAAUUCAAUAUUGGAACUUUUCUCUUAUGAUUUUAAAUUUAUUUUGAUACCGAAAAAGGAUGAGGCUGCAUUGUUAAUUCCGAUACAUAUUAGUUUGGUUCGUAUCAUAGAUGCAUGACCUCAAUCAAGUAUUCAGAAUUUUAUUAUUUUAACAAUUAACCAGUGUUCUAUUUGUCUGACAACAUUUUUCGUGGCAUUGGAUUAAUAUAAGAAUAUGUCAUCAUCCACAACGACGUCCUCUUCCUCUUUUGCCAAACGAACUCUGGGUCAUCCAUUAUGCUUCUGUGAGAUUGAAGGUCAACUGAGAUACUCAAAUACAAAAAAAAAAAAUAUCCAGGACGACCCUUCUUAGGUUGUCCAAAGUACAACAAAGAGGGAUUUCCAUAUUAUAAGUGUUUCAAGUGGGUAGAGAAAGAUGAAUACAAGAUGUCGGAUCGUCUAGAAACUCACAAUGAAAUAUUAAGAAAUGAUAAAGAGCUGAAGAAAAUACUCAACAAUAUUGAAAACAUCAUUAUUGAGUUGCAUAAAAGAGUAGAUGAGAUCGAGUUGGUACUGUCUAAUAAAAAUGAUGAGUUACUAAAGAAGUUGGUGGCUAUUGUACGUGAAGCUAAAAUAAGAUGUUCACACACAUUAUUCCGUGUGUUUUGGACUUUUGCAUUUGUUGUAGCAUAUGACUUGGUAGUACAUAAGUAAUUUCAUAUUAGUGUUAGAGACCCAUGGCUGCUAUGUAUGUAAUGUUGUUUAUACGUUAGUUUUACUUGUCAAUCAUGUAGAUUGCAGCUAGCUAACAGGACUGGAACCAUCCUAAUUUUGUCUUGUAUUUCUGUUUGUCUAGGAAAUAAAGUACCUGUUAUGGAUGAGCAUGUUUGUCUAAAUGAAAUG